CGAAGAAGCUGAACGCGGAUGCCUCGUUACUAUAGCUAACUAGCUCUUCAUUAUAUUUUUUACAUUAUAUAUUCAUACAACAAAGUGUUAUGCAUAACAAUGCGGGCGUUCUUAAUUGCCUGUUCAAAAACUAUACCUUUUAUUGUGCCAAUAAAAUACAUUUAUUUUGUUUGGAUCUGAUUCUGAGUUAUUCAUAACCUAACAUACUAGUACACUUGUAGUUCUGGUAACGUAUUAAAUCUUCAGCACGUACAUGUCCACUUUUGUAUUUCAACUAAUGUAAUGGGGACGUACAGCUAGCAGAGUAUGUGACUU